GGUGAGUAACGCGUGAGCAACCUGCCUUCAGCAGGGGGAUAACGUGCCGAAAGGCACACUAAUACCGCAUAAUGAUGGAACAUCGCAUGAUGAACCAUUUAAAGGGCUAAACCGGCUGAAGAGGGGCUCGCGUCCGAUUAGAUAGUUGGUAGGGUAACGGCCUACCAAGUCAGCGAUCGGUAGCCGACCUGAGAGGGUGAUCGGCCACAUUGGAACUGAGAACGGUCCAAACUCCUACGGGAGGCAGCAGUGGGGAAUAUUGGGCAAUGGGGGGAACCCUGACCCAGCGACGCCGCGUGAGGGAAGAAGGUUUUCGGAUUGUAAACCUCUGUUCUUGGCGAAGAAGCCAGACGGUAGCCAAGGAGGAAGCCCCGGCUAACUACGUGCCAGCAGCCGCGGUAAUACGUAGGGGGCGAGCGUUGUCCGGAAUGAUUGGGCGUAAAGGGCGCGUAGGCGGCAUGUUAAGUCUGAAGUGAAAGUCCUAUAUUUAAGGUAGGAAUUGCUUUGGAAACUGAUGUGCUUGAGUGCAGGAGAGGUCAUCGGAAUUCCCAGUGUAGCGGUGAAAUGCGUAGAGAUUGGGAGGAACACCAGUGGCGAAGGCGGGUGGCUGGACUGUAACUGACGCUGAGGCGCGAAAGUGUGGGGAGCAAACAGGAUUAGAUACCCUGGUAGUCCACACUGUAAACGAUGAAUGCUAGGUAUAGUUGGUAUCGACCCCAACUGUGCCGUCGCAAACGCAAUAAGCAUUCCGCCUGGGGAGUACGGUCGCAAGAUUAAAACUCAAAGGAAUU
rnacentral:rRNA from 1 species